GACGGAGGGUGCAAGCGUUGUUCGGAAUUAUUGGGCGUAAAGAGCUCGUAGGCGGUCUGUCGCGUCUGCUGUGAAAACUCAGGGCUUAACCCUGAGCUUGCAGUGGGUACGGGCAGACUAGAGUGCGGUAGGGGAGACUGGAAUUCCUGGUGUAGCGGUGAAAUGCGCAGAUAUCAGGAGGAACACCGGGUGGCGAAGGCGGGUCUCUGGGCCGGAACUGACGCUGGAGGAGCGAAAGCGUGGGAGCGAACAGG
rnacentral:rRNA from 1 species